CCCUUGAUAGCUCAGUUGGCAGAGCGAUGGACUGUAAUAGUAUUUCACGCCAUCCACAGGUCGCCGGUUCAAAUCCGGCUCGAGGGA